UACGUAGGGUGCAAGCGUUGUCCGGAAUUAUUGGGCGUAAAGAGCUCGUAGGCGGUCUGUCGCGUCUGCUGUGAGAACUCGGGGCUUAACCCCGGGCCUGCAGUGGGUACGGGCAGACUAGAGUGCGGUAGGGGAGACUGGAAUUCCUGGUGUAGCGGUGAAAUGCGCAGAUAUCAGGAGGAACACCGGUGGCGAAGGCGGGUCUCUGGGCCGUAACUGACGCUGAGGAGCGAAAGCAUGGGGAGCGAACAGG
rnacentral:rRNA from 1 species